UACAGAGGUCUCAAGCGUUGUUCGGAAUCACUGGGCGUAAAGCGUGCGUAGGCUGUUUCGUAAGUCGUGUGUGAAAGGCGCGGGCUCAACCCGCGGACGGCACAUGAUACUGCGAGACUAGAGUAAUGGAGGGGGGACCGGAAUUCUCGGUGUAGCAGUGAAAUGCGUAGAUAUCGAGAGGAACACUCGUGGCGAAGGCGGGUUCCUGGACAUUAACUGACGCUGAGGCACGAAGGCCAGGGGAGCGAAAGGG
rnacentral:rRNA from 1 species